rnacentral:rRNA from 1 species
GAUGAACGCUGACAGAAUGCUUAACACAUGCAAGUCAACUUGAAUUUGGGUCUUUUGACUUAGAUUUGGGUGGCGGACGGGUGAGUAACGCGUAAAGAACUUGCCUCACAGUUAGGGACAACAUUUGGAAACGAAUGCUAAUACCUGAUAUUAUGAAUAUAUGGCAUCAUAUAAUUAUGAAAGCUAUAAGCGCUGUGAGAGAGCUUUGCGUCCCAUUAGCUAGUUGGAGAGGUAACGGCUCACCAAGGCGAUGAUGGGUAGCCGGCCUGAGAGGGUGAACGGCCACAAGGGGACUGAGACACGGCCCUUACUCCUACGGGAGGCAGCAGUGGGGAAUAUUGGACAAUGGACCAAGAGUCUGAUCCAGCAAUUCUGUGUGCACGAUGACGUUUUUCGGAAUGUAAAGUGCUUUCAGUUGGGAAGAAAAAAAUGACGGUACCAACAGAAGAAGUGACGGCACGUGCCAGCAGCCGCGAAUACGUAUGUCACAAGCGUUAUCCGGAUUUAUUGAGCGUAAAGCGCGUCUAGGUGGUUAUGUAAGUCUGAUGUGAAAAUGCAGGGCUCAACUCUGUAUUGCGUUGGAAACUGUGUAACUAGAGUACUGGAGAGGUAAGCGGAACUACAAGUGUAGAGGUGAAAUUCGUAAUAUUUGUAGGAAUGCCGAUGGGGAAGCCAGCUUACUGGACAGAUACUGACGCUGAAGCGCGAAAGCGUGGGUAGCAAACAGGAUUAGAUACCCUGGUAGUCCACGCCGUAAACGAUGAUUACUAGGUGUUGGGGGUCGAACCUCAGCGCCCAAG